UCUCCUCCAAUCCCUGAAGUUAAGCAACAUUGAGCCUGGUCAGUACAUAGAUGGGUGACUGCUUGAGAAUAUCAGGUGCUGUAA